UACGUAGGGUGCGAGCGUUGUCCGGAAUUAUUGGGCGUAAAGGGCUCGUAGGCGGUUUGUCGCGUCGGGAGUGAAAAUCCAGGGCUUAACUCUGGACUGGCUUCCGAUACGGGCGGACUAGAGGUAUGCAGGGGAGAACGGAAUUCCUGGUGUAGCGGUGAAAUGCGCAGAUAUCAGGAGGAACACCGGUGGCGAAGGCGGUUCUCUGGGCAUUACCUGACGCUGAGGAGCGAAAGUGUGGGGAGCGAACAGG
rnacentral:rRNA from 1 species